UUGCCCAAAAUAUGUGCAGCUGAUGAAAGAUUCCGCACGAGCGGAACGCCUCAGCGAUCCGAGGAGGCUCCAGCACACUCCGCCAGGGUGAAUUUUUGAGAGCGGGCGGAGCGGAGGAGGCAGGCUAAGAGUGGUCGGAGAAGAGGCCUGCGUUAGGAGCCGUCCAGAUCUCGGAUGGGGAAGGCUGCCACAGAGCUGGGCCUGCCUCACGGUGCAUGGAGAUGAUGGGCUAACCGUGGAGUCCAGCAAGAGGCUCAUCACUGGCGUCAUCGACAUACAGACCUCGACAAACACCCAAGUCCAUGGAACGACACAGACAACUUCCCAGGCCGCCGGAACGCAAGCGACCGGGAUGAAACAUGCAACAGUGUGUGCUAUUACGUCUUUGCAGCGCUCUCGCAAAGCCGGCAGGGAAUCGUUUGUUAAAGAAAAACACCACUAGCCCAAGGAUUCCCUUUACUCUUCAAACGUGAGAGUGGCCCGCCGGACGAUCUGGCUGUUUUGUGGUACAAAGGCGCUUUACACGAUUCCUGGCAAUAUUCUCAGAACUAGUCAUGGAUGUUGUCCUUGCUAAGGCUUUUAGACUACGCUAAAAACCCUUCAUUUUAGAGACUUUUUGUUAAUAUAU